CACUUCGCCGUCGACCGUCGGAGUCGGAGGUCGAACAGAUCCACCGAGCGUCCGAGCCCUAUCGCCCCCGACGCCGGGCGAUGUCCUCGCCGGCGGCGCAUCAGGUCGCCGGCGCCCCGGCGUCGCAGCCGAUCUUCCCCGACGAGAUCCUCGAGGAGAUCUUUCUCCGCCUCGACGCCGGGGAAGACCUCGUCCGCGCCUCCGCCGCCUGCACGACCUUCCGCCGCGUCGUCUCCGCGCGUCGCUUCCUUGACCGCUUCAGGUGCCUCCACCCCCCGCCCGUCCUCGGAUUCCUCGAGUUCGACGCACUGGGAACAUUCCACCCCGCGGAGCCGCCCCACCGCGCCGCCCCCGCCGCACGCGCCCUCGCGCAGGCCUCCGACUUCACCUUCUCCUUCCUCGGCAGGCCUCACUACUGGCGGGUCUGCGAUGCCCGCGACUCCCGCGUCCUCCUCCGUCGCGUCAGAGUCACCACCGUGUUAGCUGGCCUCGUGGUCUGCGACCCCUUGCACCGCCGGCACGUCGAGCUACCUGCCAUCCCCGACAAACUUGCGGCUGCUACUGGGUGCCGGGGCUUGCAGGAAUUCGAUCCCUUCCUCGAUCCAGACACUGGCAAGGACAAGGAGAAGCAGGAUUUGUCAUUCCGGGUGAUCUGCGCCGUUCAGUGCGAACACAUGCUCGUGACCUUCGACUUCUCUUCAGUCACCGGGCAAUGGCGAGGCAUGACGUUCAAUAGACCAGUUCCUUUGAACGAUACCUCUGUUAGGUUUCCGAAGCUGUUCGAGCGCCACUAUGCACACAGCUGCUACUUCUGGACGAUCGCUCUCGGCGGCAAUUUUAUGUUCAUGCUCAACAUGCAUGAUUUGGAACUCUCUGUUGUUGACCUGCCUCCUGGUGUAUUUUGCCCUCGAGAACAGGCCAUUGUGGAGGCAGGGGAAGACAUGAUAGGUCUGUUCAAUCUUAGUGAUGGCAUGCUGCAGCUCUACUAUAAGUCAUUGCGAGGAACUGAGUGGCACCACGAAAGGAUAAUCCCCUUGCCCAGACUGAACAGUUACUGGAGCAUCCUCGAUGCAGCUGCAGGGCACUUACUCCUACAAGCGACGCCACAGGAUUGUUCCCCUUAUGCAAAGCCGGAGUCACAGUAUUUCACACUCAAUCUCAAGACAUUCCUUGUUGAGGGGCUUUGCGUUUCGAAUCGGCACAUUACAGGUGCUCACCUGUAUGCGAGUUUUCUGUUACCAUUGUCACAGCCAAGCAUAUGAUAUGUAUUGUUCACCGUGUCAGUGCCAAUCAACAUGUUUCACUACCAACUUCAGGUCUGCUGUCUCGACAUUUUGGUCAGGAAUUCCCAGGGUGAUACCAUGGCAGUUGGCAGUAUCUUUGUCUGAUGACCUAAGAUCAAGAACAUUGUACAUGGCAUCAGGUGCUCCUGUCUAGAUGACAUCUAGUUGUAGUUUGAUCGGCUGUUUUGUUUCUGCAGUUUUUUUUCACCCAUUCAAUGUAGAAGAAUUUGAAUUUUAGAAUCGAAGGUUCAUAUUAUAAGACUUCUCAACUCUUAUCCAUUUUUUUUGGAAUGAACUGGUGGCCUUAUGUUGUAUUUUGGAGCUAUUCAGUACAAAAUAGGGGCACUAUGGAAGCCUUUUCACUGA